rnacentral:rRNA from 1 species
AUUGAACGCUGGCGGCAGGCCUAACACAUGCAAGUCGAACGAGUGGCGGACGGGUGAGUAAUGUCUGGGAAACUGCCCGAUGGAGGGGGAUAACUACUGGAAACGGUAGCUAAUACCGCAUACCAUCGGAUGUGCCCAGAUGGGAUUAGCUAGUAGGUGGGGUACUGGCUCACCUAGGCGACGAUCCCUAGCUGGUCUGAGAGGAUGAGCAGCCACACUGGAACUGAGACAAGGUCCAGACUCCUACGGGAGGCAGCAGUGGGGAAUAUUGCACAAUGGGCGCAAGCCUGAUGCAGCCAUGCCGCGUGUAUGAAGAAGGCCUUCGGGUUGGAAAGUACUUUCAGCGGGGAGGCGUUACCCGCAGAAGAAGCACCGGCUAACUCCGUGCCAGCCGCCGCGGUAAUUC